AUUGAACGCUGGCGGCAUGCCUUACACAUGCAAGUCGAACGGCAGCACGGGAGCAAUCCUGGUGGCGAGUGGCGAACGGGUGAGUAAUAUAUCGGAACGUGCCCAGUCGUGGGGGAUAACGCAGCGAAAGCUGUGCUAAUACCGCAUACGAUCUAAGGAUGAAAGCGGGGGAUCGCAAGACCUCGCGCGAUUGGAGCGGCCGAUAUCAGAUUAGCUAGUUGGUGGGGUAAAGGCCCACCAAGGCGACGAUCUGUAGCUGGUCUGAGAGGACGACCAGCCACACUGGAACUGAGACACGGUCCAGACUCCGACGGGAGGCAGCAGUGGGGAAUUUUGGACAAUAGGCGCAAGCCUGACCCAGCAAUGCCGCGUGCAGGAUGAAGGCCUUCGGGUUGUAAACUGCUUUUGUACGGAACGAAACAGCCCUUUCUAAUACAGGGGGCUAAUGACGGUACCGUAAGAAUAAGCACCGGCUAACUACGUGCCAGCCGCCGCGGUAAAAC
rnacentral:rRNA from 1 species